CCUACGGGUGGCAGCAGUGGGGAAUAUUGCACAAUGGGGGAAACCCUGAUGCAGCAACGCCGCGUGAGUGAAGAAGUAUUUCGGUAUGUAAAGCUCUAUCAGCAGGGAAGAGAAUGACGGUACCUGACUAAGAAGCCCCGGCUAACUACGUGCCAGCAGCCGCGGUAAUACGUAGGGGGCAAGCGUUAUCCGGAUUUACUGGGUGUAAAGGGAGCGUAGACGGCUGGCCAAGUCUGAAGUGAAAGCCCGGGGCUUAACCCCGGAACGGCUUUGGAAACUGGGCGGCUGGAGUGCAGGAGGGGCAGGCGGAAUUCCUGGUGUAGCGGUGAAAUGCGUAGAUAUCAGGAGGAACACCGGUGGCGAAGGCGGCCUGCUGGACAGUAACUGACGUUGAGGCUCGAAAGCGUGGGGAGCAAACAGGAUUAGAUACCCGGGUAGUC
rnacentral:rRNA from 1 species